GCGCGCACUGCACCGGAGCCGGAAGUGGUGGGUGAGUGGUGGUCGUUUCCCCAGGACCCCUUCUUGGAUAGAGACCUGGCUCUUGCCUACCUUCUGCGGCGCUCUUUACAGGGGAUUGCCGGGAAGUUGGUGACCUCGGUGACCUCAGCAUAAGCCUCAAAAGCCACUUCAAUGGCCACUCUCACGUGCUCCGGAAGACCCUGUUUUCCCGGCUAUCCAAGGAACUGCGGCGGAAGUACAACGCCCCCUUCGUGCCCAUCUGCCAGGACGACGAGGUCCAGAUAUGAAGAAACUGAAACUCGGGUUAAAUAACGCAGAGCAUGGAGUUGAGGAUGACCGUGAUUCCUGAGUGCGGGAACUACAGGCAUGUACUACUGUGCUAGACCUGUGCAGUGCCAGGCAUGUGUGUACUAAGCACACCCUCCGCCACUGACUCCACUCCCAGCCACAGGUAGUUAUCACCAGGCUGGAACCAGACUAAGACAGGAAAAGAAUUCUUCAACGCAAAGCCAAGUCUCAUGAAGUUGGAGAGAGAAAGGUCACUGUAGGGAUCUCAUGCAUGGAGGAUGCAGGAGUGAAAUGAGCUGUCAUGAAACCAGGGCUAACUGCACUGCAGAGGCCUUGUCUUCAAAGUGUGUCUGAUGUGUUUCAUUGUCCACCUGUUUUGCUACUGACUUGUCAUUCUGUAGUUGAUAGUUUAUGAAUAAAAAUUGGAACCAUU